GAAGUGUGGUAUGGAUAGAGAAACAGUAGAAUGUUUCUCUAUCCAUACCACACUAAACAGUAGAAUGUUUCUCUAUCCAUACCACACUCACAACUACCUGU